rnacentral:rRNA from 1 species
UACCAGCUCUCCGAGUGGUGUGGAUGUUUAUUGGGCCUAAAGCAUCCGUAGCUGGCUGGGCAAGUCCCCUGUUAAAUCCACCGAUUUAAUCGUUGGUGUGCGGGGGAUACUGUUCGGCUAGGGGACGGGAGAGGCCGACGGUAUUUUCGGGGUAGGGGUGAAAUCCUAUAAUCCCGGGAAGACCACCAGUGGCGAAGGCUGUCGGCUAGAACGCGCCCGACGGUGAGGGAUGAAAGCUGGGGGAGCGAACCGGAUUAGAUACCCGGGUAGUCCCAGCUGUGAACGAUGCAGGCUAGGUGUUGGCGCGGCUACGUGCCGCUCCAGUGCCGCAAGGAAGCCGUUAAGCCUGCCGCCUGGGAAGUACGGCCGCAAGGCUGAAACUUAAAGGAAUUGGCGGGGGAGCACCACAAGGGGUGAAGCUUGCGGUUU